AAAAAAAAAGGUUUGGAACCAGGGGGUUCCUGGCUUUAAAUCCAAGCUCAUCCACUGACUCAUUGUGUGACCUUGAUAAAGCACACUUAACUUCCUUAUGCUCUGUCUUUAGGAUGAGGUGUGGUAAUCUGAUCUAUGGUACAAUGUGCUUUAUUUUUUAAAUGUGUUCAUCGGCGAGGGACUUGUCAGUCGUUGCUCCAAAUAUGUGGAGGAGGCACAUCUGGCAGGAGUCUAAUCCCAACAAAGAAGCUUUAUGAUAUCAUAGCAGCUGUGAAGAGAGAAUACCCUGGAACGCAUGACACUGCUAUCAAGCUAGCCAUUAGGAAGAAGUUUGGCAAUGAAAUGAAGCAGCUACGGAGAAAUGAAAAUAGUAUAAUUAUUCCUCAAUACAAAAAUAGCUUAUAGUUUUCUACUUUUAACUUCGACUUGUUGUUUUUCUGUAUCACGUUUAGAUAUGUUUUAGUUAAUUUUCACAUUUUAGUUUAACAGAGGUAAUUACAGUAGUUUUAAAUGUAAAUGGUUUCUUAUUUGUAACUCAUCUGUUACUUGUAACUAGGAACCUAUUCCUUUAACUUUGCGGUCCAUUGUCGGACUGGGUCCGACAUUGCAAUUAUUCCUCACAGGUCCUUUGUCGGACUGGGUCCGACAUCAUUAUAGCAACGCAAUAAACGGGUGUUUAGUCGUUUUUUCUCCGGAAAAAGCCGAGAAAACCAUUCAAUUGCCGAGUGGUAGCGACAGGAGCCGAGACAAGUCGGAAAAAAAAAAUAAAAAAUAAAAAAGGCGUAUUUCAUGAAUAGUCAUACAUGGUAUCAGGUAUCAGAUAAUGGGCGUCCAUAAUAAACAAGCUGGCUAAGUGCGUCAGCGCACUGAGACUAUCAUGGACAUUUGCAGAGCUUUUUUCAGAUGUUAUAGUAAUAAAAU